UUGAACGCUGGCGGCAUGCCUUACACAUGCAAGUCGAACGGUAGAGGGGCAACCCUUGAGAGUGGCGAACGGGUGAGUAAUAUAUCGGAACGUGCCCAGUCGUGGGGGAUAACGCAGCGAAAGCUGCGCUAAUACCGCAUACGAUCUAUGGAUGAAAGCGGGGGAUCGCAAGACCUCGCGUGAUUGGAGCGGCCGAUAUCAGAUUAGGUAGUUGGUGGGGUAAAAGCCCACCAAGCCGACGAUCUGUAGCUG
rnacentral:rRNA from 1 species